rnacentral:lncRNA from 1 species
UUCCUUGCUUGCAUUGCCAACAUCACUACUACUACUCCUCCUCCUCCUCCUCCUUCUUCUUCUUGACCACAGCCAUCAAUCCAUCAUCGCCAUUUCUAUGCCAUUUUGUUUUCAUUUCGUCGAUUACAGGGGUAUCUAGAUGGCUAGUAGGUUUACCCUUUUUGAGUUUUUCUUAUCUUUAAGUUGUAACUAGAGCAAUCACCAUCCCUGUUGGUUGGUUUGAUCUGUUUAAGUUUUGAUGUUUACAUUGAUUUUGUCGAUUUUCAAUAUUUGAGACAUUACAUCUUUUGAUUGUUAUGUUCAAUGGUAAGAUAAUAAACAGG